UACGAAGGGGGCUAGCGUUGCUCGGAAUCACUGGGCGUAAAGGGUGCGUAGGCGGGUCUUUAAGUCAGGGGUGAAAUCCUGGAGCUCAACUCCAGAACUGCCUUUGAUACUGAGGAUCUUGAGUACGGGAGAGGUGAGUGGAACUGCGAGUGUAGAGGUGAAAUUCGUAGAUAUUCGCAAGAACACCAGUGGCGAAGGCGGCUCACUGGCCCAUUACUGACGCUGAGGCACGAAAGCGUGGGGAGCAAACAGG
rnacentral:rRNA from 1 species